GAUGAACGCUGGCGGCGUGCCUAAUACAUGCAAGUCGAGCGAACAGACGAGGAGCUUGCUCCUCUGACGUUAGCGGCGGACGGGUGAGUAAAACGUGGAUAACCUACCUAUAAGACUGGGAUAACUUCGGGAAACCGGAGCUAAUACCGGAUAAUAUAUUGAACCGCAUGGUUCAAUAGUGAAGGACGGUUUUGCUGUCACUUAUAGAUGGAUCCGCGCCGCAUUAGCUAGUUGGUAAGGUAACGGCUUACCAAGGCAACGAUGCGUAGCCGACCUGAGAGGGUGAUCGGCCACACUAGAACUGAGACACGGUCCAGACUCCUACGGGAGGCAGCAGUAGGGAAACUUCCGCAAUGGGCGAAAGCCUGACGGAGCAACGCCGCGUGAGUGAUGAAAGUCUUCGGAUCGUAAAACUCUGUUAUUAGGGAAGAACAAAUGUGUAAGUAACUAUGCACGUCUUGACGGUACCUAAUCAGAAAGCCACGGCUAACUACGUG
rnacentral:rRNA from 1 species